rnacentral:rRNA from 1 species
CUGAGGCCUACUGGCAACUAUAACAACUUUCAACAACGGAUCUCUUGGCUCUGGCAUCGAUGAAGAACGCAGCGAAAUGCGAUAAGUAUUGUGAAUUGCAGAAUCCAGUGAAUCAUCGAAUCUUU